rnacentral:rRNA from 1 species
UACGGGGGGGGCAAGCGUUGUUCGGAAUUACUGGGCGUAAAGGGCUCGUAGGCGGCCAACUAAGUCAGACGUGAAAUCCCUCGGCUUAACCGGGGAACUGCGUCUGAUACUGGAUGGCUGGAGUUUGGGAGAGGGAUGCGGAAUUCCAGGUGUAGCGGUGAAAUGCUUAGAUAUGACAUAGAACACCAAUUGCGAAGGCAGCUUACUACACAGUUAUUGACGCUGAGGCACGAAAGCGUGGGGAUCAAACAGG